GACGAACGCUGGCGGCGUGCUUAACACAUGCAAGUCGAACGGAGCUGUUUAUUCGGUAGAUAGCUUAGUGGCAAACGGGUGAGUAACGCGUAGGCAACCUGCCCUUAGGAUGGGGACAACGGCCCGAAAGGACCGCUAAUACCGAAUGGACUCUAACUUUCGCAUGGAAGAAAGAGAAAAGAUGGUGCAAGCCAUCGCCGAAGGAAGGGCCUGCGUCUGAUUAGCCAGUUGGUGAGGUAACGGCUCACCAAAGCGACGAUCAGUAGCCGGUCUGAGAGGAUGAACGGCCACAAUGGGACUGAGACACGGCUCAUACUCCUACGGGAGGCAGCAGUGGGGAAUCUUCCGCAAUGGGCGAAAGCCUGACGGAGCAACGCCGCGUGAGUGAAGAAGGUCUUCGGAUCGUAAAGCUCUGUUGUUGGGGACGAAAGGGUAGACGAGGCAAUGCGUCUACUAAGACGGUACCCGACGAGGAAGCCACGCUAA
rnacentral:rRNA from 1 species